CCGGAAGGUGCGGCUGGAUCACCUCCUUUCUAGGGAGAGGGAGCAGGACCCAUCGGUGAGGGGACUGCGUCAACAACCCUCCCAGGUUGAUCGCUCGAUCGCUACCGUCGCCCCUGCUGGGUGGGAGCGGCGUCCGUACCUCGGUACGGGCGAGGUCGAGCGACCCAGCACCAAGCACCGAGAACUCGUUCGCAUGGGUCAUCUGCCACUCUUCACGUGUCAGGGUGCAGCCGCCCUCCCGGACCGACGCGGUCCUGGCGGGACGGAACCCCGACGGGCGUUUAGCUCAGCUGGUUAGAGCACUGCCCUGAUAAGGCAGAGGUCUCUGGUUCGAGUCCAGAAACGCCCACCAUCCAACCUCUCCGCACUCGCAGCCGCGGGGGGACGUAGCUCAGCUGGCAGAGCAUCUCCUUUGCAAGGAGAGGGUCAGGAGUUCGAGUCUCCUCGUCUCCACCACUCUGCAGGCGCCAUACACAGAAGCACCUCCCGCCCUCGGAAACGGCAACGGCCGCGUUCAGAGGGCGCGACGCAAGUCCCGAGGUCCCCUCGUCCAUGGGCUCGAUACCGAUCGAGGUCAUGGACCAGCUGACCGUUGGAAACGGCAGACGAUGUGUCGGCCGGCCGCUCCCGCCAGGGACGGCUAUGCACCUUUACAAGUGAAGAUGACGAUCGGAAGAUCGAGUCUCUUUUUGAAAACUUCGAUUUCUGCCGAAUGAACAAGGUGAAGAUCCCGAUUCCACCUGACGCACUCGCCAUCGGGUGAGUUGCUGAGGGGGGUCAAGCUACACAGGGCACGG
rnacentral:tRNA from 1 species